rnacentral:rRNA from 1 species
UACGUAGGGGGCAAGCGUUGUCCGGAUUUAUUGGGCGUAAAGAGCGUGUAGGCGGCUGGAUAGGUCCGUUGUGAAAACUCGAGGCUCAACCUCGAGACGCCGAUGGAAACCAUCUGGCUAGAGUCCGGAAGAGGAGAGUGGAAUUCCCGGUGUAGCGGUGAAAUGCGCAGAUAUCGGGAAGAACACCCGUGGCUAAGGCGGCUCUCUAGUACGGUACUGACGCUGAGACGCGAAAGCGUGGGGAGCGAACAGG